GAUGAACGCUGGCGGCGUGCCUAAUACAUGCAAGUAGAACGCUGAAGGAGGAGCUUGCUCUUCUGGAUGAGUUGCGAACGGGUGAGUAACGCGUAGGUAACCUGCCUUGUAGCGGGGGAUAACUAUUGGAAACGAUAGCUAAUACCGCAUGACAACAGUUAUUGCAUGAUAACUGUUUAAAAGGGGCAACUGCUCCACUACCAGAUGGACCUGCGUUGUAUUAGCUAGUUGGUGAGGUAACGGCUCACCAAGGCGACGAUACAUAGCCGACCGGAGAGGGGGAUCGGCCACACUGGGACUGAGACACGGCCCAGACGCCUACGGGAGGCAGCAGUAGGGAAUCUUCGGCAAUGGACGGAAGUCUGACCGAGAAACGCCGAGGGAGGGAAGAAGGUUUUCGGAUCGUAAAGCUCGGUUGUAAGAGAAGAACGAGUGUGAGAGUGGAAAGUUCACACUGUGACGGUAGCUUACCAGAAAGGGACGGCUAACUACGUG
rnacentral:rRNA from 1 species